GGAGGUGUAAGCUCAGUGGUAGAGCUCUGCCUAGCUUGCGGGAGGCCCUGGGUUAGAUCCCCAACACAACUU
rnacentral:tRNA from 1 species